AAAAACAAACAACACAUGGCCACGAAAUGUUUGAAAAUGAACCAAUUUUAAAUAUUUUAAAUAUAGACGAAAUAGCCUAUAAAUUACUGCUACUAAUCAUACAGAUUUGAUAAACACAAUGAGGUGAUUCAUUUGAAAAAGUAAAUGACCUAUAGGCACUAAAUACUAAUAUAUAGCCUAAUCAUAGAAAUUAAAAUUAUCAUCCUAACAAUAAAUACCACAGAGAGGCGCUGUGGCUGCCUAUGUGUGUGUGUGUGUAAGUGUGUGUGUGUGUGUGUGUGUGUGUGUGUGUAUGUAUGUGUGUCGUCACCACAGUCACGUUGUUUCCCGGUCGGGUGGGGUUAAAUAGCUGGUGUGCGCAGCAGACCGGCAGAUAAACCCGGCUCAGCGCGCUCUGUCCACAAUUGUGAGUAGCCUGGUUCACUCCGCCUGAACGGACGAGGCUCCUGCUCGAACAGCCACCGGCUCUUUUUUUGACGUGGUGUUUUUUUUCACCUCCCCGGGAUCUAAGCGACUCGGUUCCCGUGUCCUGUACGGUUCUUUAGUCUUUAAGGAAUGCCCAGAGAGCUGACCCAGAACAGGAUCCAAAAGAUCUGGGUUCCCACUAAGGAUGACAAGCCGGCCCCCCGGAGAGCGGCUGGCGCCCCACACUUCGCCAACCCCCCCACGGUCAUUGUGAUGGUUGGCCUGCCGGCUCGGGGCAAGACGUACAUGUCCAGGAAACUUACACGCUACCUCAACUGGAUUGGCAUGCCCACCAAAGUCUUCAAUGUGGGAGAGUACCGCAGGGAGGCGGUUAAGAAUUACAGCUCCUAUGACUUCUUCAAGCCUGAUAAUGAGUGUGCCGUGAAAAUCAGGCAGCAAUGUGCCUUAGCAGCUUUGAGGGAUGUCAAGUCCUAUUUAAAGGAUGAGGGAGGCCAAGUAGCGGUCUUCGAUGCCACAAACACGACGAGGGAAAGGCGAGAGAUGAUCCUCAAGUUUGGCAGCGAGAACGCCUUCAAGGUCUUCUUCAUCGAGUCUGUCUGUGAUGAUCCCAGUGUCAUCGCAUCAAACAUCAUGGAAGUGAAGGUGUCCUGUCCAGACUACCGGGACUGCAACAAGACUGAUGCCAUGUUGGAUUUCCAGAGGAGAAUUGAAUGUUACAAAGCCAGCUACCAACCUCUGGACCCUGACCAGCAUGACAGGGAUCUGUCCUUCAUCAAAGUGAUAGACGUUGGUCGCCGCUUCCUCGUCAACCGGAUCCAAGAUCACAUCCAGAGUAAGAUUGUCUACUACCUGAUGAACAUCCACGUCCAGCCCCGAACCAUCUACCUGUGUCGGCACGGAGAGAGCACGGACAACCUGGAGGGACGGCUGGGCGGUGACGCCGGCCUCUCGCCGCACGGCAAACAGUUUUCAGCUGCCUUGGCACGGUUUGUAGAGGAGCAGCAGCUGAAGGAUCUGAAGGUUUGGACUAGCCAGCUGUGUCGCAGCAUCCAGACCGCCGAGCAUCUGGGAGUCCCUUACGAACAGUGGAAGGCUCUCAACGAGAUAGACGCAGGAAUGUGUGAGGAGAUGACGUACGACGAGGUGAAGGAGAAAUUCCCAGAGGAGUUUGCACUGAGAGAUGAAGAUAAAUACUACUACCGCUACCCUGCUGGAGAGUCCUACCAGGACCUGGUCCAGCGAUUGGAGUCAGUCAUCAUGGAGCUGGAGAGGCAGGAGAAUGUCUUGGUUAUCUGCCACCAGGCCGUCAUGCGCUGCCUGCUGGCCUACUUCCUGGAUAAGAGCGCAGAUGAGAUGCCCUAUCUGAAGUGUCCGCUCCAUACAGUGUUGAAGCUCACCCCUGUGGCCUAUGGGUGCAAAGUGGAGUCCAUCUCUCUGAAUGUGGAAGCUGUGAACACCCACAGAGACAGACCAGAGGAGGUGAAGAGGGGUCCUGGCACCUUGAUCAGGAGGAACAGCGUGACUCCUCUGACCAGCCCCGAGUCAAACAUCAAGAAACCUCGCAUCGAUGACCUGGACGAGGCUCCGAUUCAAGAGCUGCCCCCUUCUGUUGCUUCCCUGGCCCUGUGCAGCCCCUCACACCUCCCUCUCGCCCUGGCCGGACAGCACUGGCUGGGCAAAGUUUGCCUGUAAGUAUUCACUCUGUUCAGUAUCUGUGGCUGUGUCACUCUUUUUUUUUAUCUCAUCCUCUUCCUGUUGCUGCAUCUUCAUUUGCAUGGUGUUCACUGCUGAUGUUUCUUUCCCCCACUAAUAUGUAAGUGAGAAAAGCAAAAAAGUUUAUACAAAUAUUGGCAAAUUUACAUAUUUUACCUUUAGUAGGUACAUUUAUGUACCUUGUAUUAGCUCUAUUCAUCACAUUUAUCAGUAUUUAUCAUGAUAAAUGCAACAUAUUUCAGUAAACUAAAACAUUUUGUGACAGUAUGUUCUUAUUAGGACACUGUUUUACAGUGAAUGUGUUCUAGACUUAACUAAUAGGAAAUGAUGUCUCAUACUGAAGAGUAGCAGCACUGUUUCCUGGCAGUGAGGGAAAAAAAGACAGGCAUUCAUAUUUGCUCCUGGGAAGCUCUUCUCUUCCCAGUUUACAUUCCUGUGAUUCCUGUCUGCUGUUGUCACUACAAUGCUACUACUAUUGUACGCUGAUUCAUGCUGACUGUCCUGUUCUUGUCUUUGUGUUUGGUUUAUUUUUGGCCUGUCUUGUCCUGCUUAAAGACGAACCAGCCUCCACUAUCUGAAAGUGGUUUCUCUCUUAGUCUUUCAAAGAACCUGAAGAGGAACUCAUCUGGCCGCCAUGACGUCCUGCAGUCCUGCCAAUGAAAUUGCACCGUUUGGUCAUGUGACUCAAGAGGCCAGAAAGUGGAUCACUGACAAAGAUUCGCUGAAAAAAACUUCAAACAACAAGGAAACGCAAAAUUGAGAAUUUUUUUUUUCAAUAUUUCUCGGCCUGUAAAAUCUAAUGGAAUGAAUCUUGUAUCAUUUUGUCCGCUACGGAUGCAAGUUACUGUACCUUUAAUCCUUCAAAACAGGCCAUGGUUAUGUAAUUGCUGUCCUAUCAGCUAUUUUGUGAGAUAUUUAUGUUCAAGGUCGAUUUCAUUUCAAAGCCAAACUCGUAAAUUCCCCCUCCCAUUGUCCCUCUGAGACUGAUGAAUCUGUGUUUUCAAGGAAACUUUAGAAAACCUCUUGUGUUUAAUUCGUUCUUUCAUUCAGAUUCAGAGGAAAACUGUGACUCUUUCGAAUCUAAAGUCAUUCCUGUUAUAUUUCACAGCUCAGUCAGUUCUCUGGAUUACCAGUUUCUUCUGGUUAAGCUUUUUUUUUUUUGGAGAGACCACACCCAAAUAGAACUUUUAGCUCUUCCUUUUUCAACCAUGUAAUUAUGGUUGCUUUAACGAGAUGAUGGGAUGGUAUUUAGUUUACAUUGUAAACUCUUUGGCACUUCUUUGGAAGCACUGGCGUUUUUCACGUGCACUUUUUUCUAAAAUGUGUGUGAAGGCAGAACGUUGUAAUUUAAUUGACUCUUUUGUAUGCGGAUGCAACAAAAUAAGAGAUUAUUUUGCACAGUGGGGAUACAUUUUUAUUAUUAUUUUUUUUGGUUUAUGUGUCACUUUAACUUUUUAAUUUUCAUGACUUCACUGUAACGGAGGUGAUUUUUGCCGUAGAGUGCCUGUAGUGCUUGUUUUGCAAGCCCAACGCCGCUUCUCUUGCUAUUUCUGUGGACUUAAUCGCUGGAGGAGAGGCACCACAUUUCACCUAAUUACUUCACAUAUCAUUUCAAUAUUUUACUUUUCAUGUAAUAUUUAUUUUUCAUUGUGUUUAGUUUCAAUGCUACAGAACAUGCAGAUCAUUUAAACAGAGUUCUGUUCACUGAUGGGAAAGUUUAUUUUCUUUUUAUUUCCUUUUGCUGUCAUUGUCUGCUGCGCACAAAUGUAAGCACCUAUAUUUUUCUUACAACAAAGCGUGCUGUUAAUAAUAUCUUUGUAAAUGUUAGUGUACAUACAGUAUAACUGGAGAUGGAUGGGAGAUGACUUGGAACUCUCUUGGGAGUCUUUUAAUGAACGUGUGUGUAAUAAGUGUUUUUGUACUAAUGUGUCGGGACUGAAUGGAAAGCAUAAUCUUUUGAGAAAGAAGCUGCUGCUCCUGUCUCUCAGUAAAUCUUUUAACAUGUUUGCUUGAGAUACUUGAAAUUUGUUUUUUGUAAAAACUGUUUUAUUAUAUUCUUUAUUUAUUUUUAUGUAGUUUUUGGAUGACUGCUUGGAGCGAGAGGCACCUUCUUAAAACCUGAGGACUAUGCAUGAGAGGACAGUAUGUUGUAUAGUUGAUUUUGCAUCUGCUGGACCAAUAAAUUCACUACAAAUAUACA